GAUGAACGCUGGCGGCGUGCCUAAUACAUGCAAGUCGAGCGAACAGACGAGGAGCUUGCUCCUCUGACGUUAGCGGCGGACGGGUGAGUAACACGUGGAUAACCUACCUAUAAGACUGGGAUAACUUCGGGAAACCGGAGCUAAUACCGGAUAAUAUAUUGAACCGCAUGGUUCAAUAGUGAAAGACGGUUUUGCUGUCACUUAUAGAUGGAUCCGCGCCGCAUUAGCUAGUUGGUAAGGUAACGGCUUACCAAGGCAACGAUGCGUAGCCGACCUGGGAGGGUGGUCGGCCACACUGGAACUGAGACACGGUCAAGACUCCUACGGGAGGCAGCAGUAGGGAAUCUUCCGCAAUGGUCGAAAGCCUGACGGAGCAACGCCGAGUGAGUGAUGAAGGUCUUCGGAUCGUAAAACUCUGUUAUUAGGGAAGAACAAAUGUGUAAGUAACUAUGCACGUCUUGACGGUACCUAAUCAGAAAGCCACGGCUAACUACGUG
rnacentral:rRNA from 1 species